rnacentral:rRNA from 1 species
UUCGGUCCCUAUCUGUGGUGGGCGUAGGAAGUUUGAGAGGCUCUGAUUUUAGUACGAGAGGACCGAAUUGGACUGACCGCUGGUGUAUCUGUUGUCUUGCCAAGGGCACGGCAGAGUAGCUAAGUCGGGACGGGAUAAACGCUGAAAGCAUCUAAGUGUGAAACCCACCUCAAGAUGAGACUUCCCUUGAGGAACGUUAGAGAUUAUGACGUAGAUAGGCUACAGGUGGAAGUGCAGUAAUGUAUGCAGCCGAGUAGUACUAAUGAACCGAGAGCUCUUAAAUUU